UACGGAGGGUGCAAGCGUUAAUCGGAAUUACUGGGCGUAAAGCGUGCGCAGGCGGUUUGUUAAGUCCGUUGUGAAAUCCCCGAGCUCAACUUGGGAAUUGCAAUGGAUACUGGCAAGCUGGAGUAUGGUAGAGGAAGGUGGAAUUCCCGGUGUAGCAGUGAAAUGCGUAGAGAUCGGGAGGAACACCAGUGGCGAAGGCGGCCUGCUGGACCAAUACUGACGCUCAUGCACGAAAGCGUGGGGAGCAAACAGG
rnacentral:rRNA from 1 species